AGGACAGUAAAACAGUAGAAUAUCACAGAUAUAUAUGUAAAACUAGUAAUUAAAUCUCAAACAUUUUAACCAAAGGGGACAACACAUAAUAAAAAUAAGCUAUAAAUCGCCAACAACUGAAGGACUUAUAUAUGUUU